CUGUGUACCACCAUCAACUUUCU
rnacentral:miRNA from 1 species